GAUGAACGCUGGCGGCGUGCCUAAUACAUGCAAGUCGAGCGAACAGACGAGGAGCUUGCUCCUCUGACGUUAGCGGCGGACGGGUGAGUAACACGUGGAUAACCUACCUAUAAGACUGGGAUAACUUCGGGAAACCGGAGCUAAUACCGGAUAAUAUAUUGAACCGCAUGGUUCAAUAGUGAAAGACGGUUUUGCUGUCACUUAUAGAUGGAUCCGCGCCGCAUUAGCUAGUUGGUAAGGUAACGGCUUACCAAGGCAACGAUGCGUAGCCGACCUGAGAGGGUGAUCGGCCACACUGGAACUGAGACACGGUCCAGACUCCUACGGGAGGCAGCAGUAGGGAAUCUUACGCAAGGGGCGAAAGCCCGACGGAGCAACGCCGCGUGAGUGAUGAAGGUCUUCGGAUCGUAAAACUCUGUUAUUAGGGAAGAACAAAUGUGUAAGUAACUAUGCACGUCUUGACGGUACCUAAUCAGAAAGCCACGGCUAACUACGUG
rnacentral:rRNA from 1 species